rnacentral:rRNA from 1 species
UUACGGUACCUCCAGAGGAAGCACCGGCUAACUCCGUGCCAGCAGCCGCGGUAAUACGGAGGGUGCAAGCGUUAAUCGGAAUCACUGGGCGUAAAGCGUGCGUAGGCGGCGCAGUAAGUCAGGGGUGAAAGCCCUCGGCUCAACCGAGGAAUUGCCUCUGAUACUGCUGUGCUUGAGGCUUGGAGAGGCAGGCGGAAUUCCAGGUGUAGGAGUGAAAUCCGUAGAUAUCUGGAGGAACACCGGUGGCGAAGGCGGCCUGCUGGACAAGUUCUGACGCUGAGGUACGAAAGCGUGGGUAGCAAACAGGAUUAGAUACCCUGGUAGUCCACGCCGUAAACGAUGGAUGCUAGGUGUCGGGCCGUUGGGUUCGGUGCCGUAGUUAACGCGUAUAAGCAUCCCGCCUGGGGAGUACG